GAUGAACGCUGGCGGCGUGCCUAAUACAUGCAAGUCGAGCGAAUGGAUUAAGAGCUUGCUCUUAUGAAGUUAGCGGCGGACGGGUGAGUAACACGUGGGUAACCUGCCCAUAAGACUGGGAUAACCCCGGGAAACCGGGGCUAAUACCGGAUAACAUUUUGAACCGCAUGGUUCGAAAUUGAAAGGCGGCUUCGGCUGUCACUUAUGGAUGGACCCGCGUCGCAUUAGCUAGUUGGUGAGGUAACGGCUCACCAAGGCAACGCUGCGUAGCCGACCUGAGAGGGUGAUCGGCCACACUGGGACUGAGACACGGCCAGACUCCUACGGGAGGCAGCAGUAGGGAAUCUUCCGCAAUGGACGAAAGUCUGACGGAGCAACGCCGCGUGAGUGAUGAAGGCUUUCGGGUCGUAAAACUCUGUUGUUAGGGAAGAACAAGUGCUAGUUGAAUAAGCUGGCACCUUGACGGUACCUAACCAGAAAGCCACGGCUAACUACGUGCCAGCCGCCGCAGUAA
rnacentral:rRNA from 1 species